rnacentral:lncRNA from 1 species
CUAUCCUAUAACCAGGUCCACCAGAAGAGAAGAGGAGAUUGUGAUGUUAUUGCUGAAAAACUGCUGGUUGUUGCUUGUUCUCCUUAUCCCACAACUACGUUGCGCAGACUCUUUAUUUUUGGUGCCGUGCCGUCUCAACACGGUACGAGUUCCGGUGUGGGAUACGUCCCGGAUUCGGUCAAUUAACUUCGGAUACUUUGACCUCACUCCGUUAACAAAUUUGGUGGAAAAAUUGAGAUUUGAUUUCUAAAAAUUAAAAAUAAAACAGAUUUAAGACAUGAGAAAUGACAUACCUUCAAAUUGUAGUACUUCUAUCUCAUAUUUGUUUCUUUGUGUUUUAGAAAAAUCAAGAAUUCAAGGGAUCGUGUUUUGAGUUCGGACUUCUGGUAAACAAUAGCUGUGAUAUAGAUAGAGAGUCCGACACACUUAGAUUUUUCCUCUUUUCC